AUUGAACGCUGGCGGCAUGCCUUACACAUGCAAGUCGAACGGUAACAGGUCUUCGGAUGCUGACGAGUGGCGAACGGGUGAGUAAUACAUCGGGACGUGCCCAGACGUGGGGGAUAACGAGGCGAAAGCUUUGCUAAUACCGCAUACGAUCUAAGGAUGAAAGCAGGGGACCGCAAGGCCUUGCGCGUUUGGAGCGGCCGAUGGCAGAUUAGGUAGUUGGUGGGAUAAAAGCUUACCAAGCCGACGAUCUGUAGCUGGUCUGAGAGGACGACCAGCCACACUGGGACUGAGACACGGCCCAGACUCCUACGGGAGGCAGCAGUGGGGAAUUUUGGACAAUGGGCGAAAGCCUGAUCCAGCAAUGCCGCGUGCAGGAUGAAGGCCUUCGGGUUGUAAACUGCUUUUGUACGGAACGAAAAGGCUCUGGCUAAUACCUGGGGCACAUGACGGUACCGUAAGAAUAAGCACCGGCUAACUACGUG
rnacentral:rRNA from 1 species